CAAUAGCGUAUAUUAAAGCUGUUGCGGUUAAAAAGCUCGUAGUUGGAUUUCUGUCAAGUACAACUGGUCCGCCCUCCGGGUGAGCACAUAGUUUGGUCUUGGCAUCUUGCUGGGAAUUGUUGCUGCACUUGGCUGUGUGGCGCAGUGCCCAGCACUUUCACUUUGAGGAAAUUGGAGUGUUUCAAGCAGGCAAUGCCUUUGAACACAGUAGCAUGGAAUAAUUAGAUUGGGCUUUUGCUCCAAUUUGUCGGUUUCUGGAGCUGAGGUGAGAAUUAAUGGGGAUUGUUGGGGGCAUCCGAAUUUAGCCGUCAGAGGUGAAAUUCUUGGAUCGGCUAAAGACGGACAACUGCGAAAGCAUUUGCCAAGGAUGUUUUCAUUGA
rnacentral:rRNA from 1 species